rnacentral:lncRNA from 1 species
UCCGAAAGAAAAAUUGUUGCAUGCCUUUUAUUCAUGUACUAUGUAUGAGUACAAAAUCAUCACGGAUGGCCAUACAAUAGCAAUUACGAUCGAUCUAGUGGGGGAAUCAAACAGUACACACACCGUACGAUAAUCAACACUGCUACACUGACCUGGCACCUGACGUCGGUUCGACAGUACCGAAGUAGGUAAGCUCGGCCAUUUAUUCUGUUAGGAAUGAAGCUGCGUUCGUUGUGUCACGUAAAGACGCUGCUCGACGGUGGACGACGCGACGAGGCUAUCUAGGCGGCGGUGACGGCGAUCUUCAUGCCGGACUGGCAGUGUCCGGGAAUGCUGCAGAUGAAGUAGUUUGUGCCGCGUGCGAGCGUGACGCGGUCGGUGCCGGACUUGUAGACCUUGGCGCCCUUGGCCGGCUUGGCGCAGGCCUUGUACCCCGCCGCGCUCACCGCCACCACGUCGUGCGCCGCCGCGUCGUACUUGAACACUGAAUGCAUCAAAGGUCUAUUAGUUUGCAAAAUGAAGGAUAGUUAAUUGAUGUAUCUUGCUCCUUGUGAACCACAAUACUUGUAGCUAAAGAAACUUGUAUCAGUUUUCUCCAACAGCAAGUAUUUAGAUACAAAGAAAGUAGUAAGUUUGAUGCACCAAUGCAUGCACUUGCAGAGAUGGGUGUAAUGGUACCUAGGACGUCGCCGGCCUUGAAGCGCUUGCCGGUGGGCCAGGAGUUGGUGUUGAAGGACCAGCCGCCGCGGUCGCCGACGUUGAACACCGCCGCAUCCGCCACGAGCGUGCAGAGAAGAAGCACGCCGAGGACCACGGCCACGUUGGCACUGCCUCUUCCCUGCGCUGCCAUUGCUAGCUAGGUUAGCAGCCGCCGAUCAGUCACUCACUCGAGCUAGCAGCUAGCAGGUAGCAGGUACGAGGAGAGGCGGGUAGAGAAAUGUUGGGAGUGAGGUGCGGUGGUGGUUGGCAAUGGAGUAGCCGGUGCGGUUUUAUAGGCCCGCCGGAGUGGAGGCGUGAGGGCAUGUAGGCCCCGUCGCACGGCCGAAAGGAGUGUCGGAAUACUGGUUUUCUUGGUAGGGUUGUAGUAUUUUUCUGGUGAUGGCGUAGAGUAGAGUGGAAUGGGGGUUGGCCAACGACCCACAACAAUGGAGGCGCGCCAUUACUUUCGUCUUUGGAGUUUGGACCCGACCGACGGCGACAAAUCCUACAUGCAUAGACUUGGAAGUGAACGUUUGAUGUAUCAAAAUUUUAUUAGUAACUAUGGACACCAAAGUGUGGACGGAGAAAAACUAAGCAAGAAGUGGCGUCCAAGUAUAAUUGGACUGCGCACUAUACGUUAUAAUCAAUCGAUCCAUCCAUCUCGACCAACAACAUCAAAUAAGCUUAACUUUCCCGCUUUUGCUAAACUUCACGCGCCUGAAAUAUUUCGAUGCGAGAGCUUGUUCUGUACAAUUAUUUUUUGCUUCAUAAUGCGGGGUGAGAGCCUGUUUCGUGCAAAAGUUCGCCGUGUCGGUCGAUUCACCCUUUGCCCCAAGCAUGAGACGUGGAGUCCUUGGCCGAGUGUGAGCUGUGAAUGAGCGUGAGCUGAUGUGGCCCGAUGACCAGUGGCAGACCAUAAUUUGAAUAUGGCCGCUGAAAGAGGAGGGGGGACCAAAUACUUUCAUACUUGUUCAUAUGAAUCAAAUAUACGCUAUAUACUUUAGGUUUCGUGGAUCAUUGGGGGGAGGCCCUGCUUGUCCCCCCUGUCUCAGCCCCUGCCGAUGACCAUGGCGACAAUGGUCCAGGGCUAGGAUGGCGAGACGAGCGUGGCACUGCGAGGCAGGAGCACGUGGCUCAUCCGGCGUCGAUAGACGGGCGCGGGGAGGAAGAAGAUGAAUAAUGCAUGGUCGGUCGGGGCCUUUGGAUGAAGAUGUAACGCUCUAGAAAUUUGGCUGGCGCAAAAAAAAAAAAAAAACACAAUUCGUGCACUUGACUCGUAGUCGGUCCCGAACUUCUCACUCGAGUACUGUAUGUAUAUACUCCCUCCGUCCUAAAAUUAUUGUCUUAGGUUUGUUUAGAAAUGGAUGUAUCUAAAUACUGAAACGUGACUAGAUACAUUCAUAUCUAAACAAAUUUAAGACAAGAAUUUUGGGACGGAGGGAGUACUACAUAAUAAAUGACACGUGAAAUGGCCGAUUGAAUGCUCUAGAUGCUCUUUGCCUGAUAAUUCUCACUGGAGUAGUGGCUAACCCUGGCGUGACAUCAAAGCAGGGUGGUGAGUGGGGCUUGCCGGUGAUGGAAAAUGGAAUGGAAGAGGGCUGGAACUGGAAGGUCAGGUGAGGUCGCCGUCGACUAGAAACAUACACAUAGGUUUCUGGUACAUCCGCAGUUACGUACAGCGUGUUGUACGGGUUCCGCUGCCUCCCAGUCCCCAACCAACACCACGCACCAGAACCCGGCGUCUCCGAUAACCUGCCUGGCCUGUCUUCCGCGGGCGGUCAAAGGCAACGACGGUGGAUCGUCGACGCAUGCAGGGCAGUUUGUUACUGUGGUCUGGCUAGUCCUCCGUGCUCCUAGUGAACGCGUAGAGCGAUGGGAACACAUCAAUCGAGACCAUCAUAAUCGACACCUGAAAGCCAGUGCCAAUACUACUGGCGAGCUUCACCUGUCCGAUUCUUUAUAAAAAAUACUAGUCGUUGGAUGUUUUCUCAUCUGGUUUAUUUUCAUUUCGUUUUUUGCAAAAAAAAAAAAAACGUUUGGUGUGUGUUUCAAAAAAGUAUCAUGUGCAUUAUAAAAUGUUUAGCAUAUAUUAAAACAAGUUCGACAUAAUUUAGAAAAACGAGCUCGGUUUGUCUAUUCAAAUAUUCAUUGCAUGUUAAUGAAAGUUCGCUGUACAUUUUUCACAGUAUAUAGAAAAAAAUGGUUCAGCGUAUGUUAUAAAAUUGUUCAAUCUACAUUGACAAAAGUUUGAUUUGUAUUAGUAAAAUUUCAUUGUAUGUGAAGGAAAAAUGUUGAAGAAAAAUUAAGCCUACAAGAAAGAAAAAAAGGAACAAAAUAAUAAAAGAUCACAAAGGAAAGAAAACCAAAUCAGAAACAAAAACAAAAAAACACAAAACAAAAGAAAUGAAAAAGAACAAGCCAAGAAAAGGAACUGAAAUGGAACUAACACCAAAGGUGGCGGACCUACUGGGCCAUCCGGCCUGGCUCGCUUUCAAGAUAAAAAUGUUUUAAAGAAAAAUCAUGAUUUUUAAGAAUAAUCAUUUUGAAAUGCUUGGAAUUGUUUAUGGAACAAAAAAGGUCACAAAUUUGGAAAAAAAUAUCUAAGUUAGGAAAAAAAUCAUCACUUUGAAAAUCUUCUUCAUCUUUAAAAUCUCUUUUCUUACAUGACUCAAUCUUGUACUUCUCAUCUGUAGAAAAAUAAUAAAUGUAUCAAAUUACAGACAUGUAAAUACCAACUAGAGUUUGCCAUAGUUUUAAUUUGCCCCGCAAUGCCAAGUCUACGAUGGACACACUCAACCAUUAAAGUUAUUGACCAACAUCGGCAAGAGUAUCAACCACUGUAUUUCAGGGACAAAAGCCGAAUAGUCAGGUCGAUGUCGCUCGGAGCCCAGAGUAUCAAUCAUCAUUGUGAAGGACGUAGGAGUCGGCCCAGAUAUUGCAAGAACAAUCCUCCUUGCAGCGACCAAGAGAAAAUAAAUCCAAAAUCAAUCUGGCGAAGCAAGAUUUGAAGGACCAUACCACUAGUGGGGACCGGACCUUUAGCCCCGGCCCGUAAGGGGCUUUAGUCCCGGUUCUCCAACCGGGAUUAAAGGGGCGGGACUAAAGGCCUAACCUUUCGUUCCGGCCCUCUUACAAGCCGGGACUAAACGUGCUCCACGUGGGCGUCUCGUAGCGCCUCAGGGGCAGGCCCUUUAGUCCCGGUUCAUUACACGGACCGGGACUAAAGAUUUUCAGAUUUUGCUGGUUUUGGGUUUUUUUUUGAAUGAAAUUAUUUUUGGGUUUAGGGUUUUAGGUUUUAGGUGUUCGGGAGAUUAACGUGAUGCCUCGUUUGGUGUUCGAGAAUUAGUUUUCAUAUAAUUUAAAUAGAAAUAAUUAUGCAUAUAUAUAUAAGGUUAACUUAUCUUACAAGCGAGCAUAUAUAUACAAUUAUAUGGAGAUCUAAAUUAUCGGGACUAGAGCCCGUCUAUUCGAUUACAUGGACGAACAUCAGUAAUGGCCCUUAGCUACACUAAAUCGUCCUUUGUCAUCUAUAGCUUCCGUCCUCAGAAAUCCCGCAAGCUCCUCUGCAACAGCAAUCGCGCGUUGCUCUGGUAGGACCUUCGUUCUCAUGGCCGUGUGCUAUAUAAGAAGAGGAGAUGAAUAUGAAUAUCAAUCAUGAUAACAAAGAAUGACGGGUAAAAAUAGAGGUGUGAAUGUUCAUUGCUUACGUCGAAUUAGUGAUCCUUGCGCUCAGAGGUAAACGUGCGAAUGGUCUCGCAAACAUAGUAUCCGCAUAGAUGCGUUCCCCGGGGCUGCUGGUCGCACUUUACGAGAAUAGAAUAUAUAGAAUCAAAAUAAUAAUCUAGCAUCAUAAAUGUAUUGAAAAUUAAUAGAAGUAUAUCAUACUACUACUUACCUGAGCCGCUCUAAAGGUCAGCUUCUCAGGAAAGUUACCGGGAGUCACGCACUUGAACCGCUUCCAAACCCUGCCCGACAAGGAUAAUGAUUUGCUAAGUUUUUCAUUAAUUGAUAUAUCAGAAAAUCAUCGAAAGAGACCAAUAGAGCGCAAGAAUGAUUAAAAUUACCCUUGGAGCAUGUCCUGGAGGCUUUGGAACUGUUCCAAGGAUCUCGAUAAUGGGUCGAAGGCAUCAACUCUUCCCUUAUCAAUUUGAAUGUCCAACAGAAUCCAAUGGAAGCUGCACAUGUAUAUAUAUAUAUGUGUGUGUGUCAGUAACUUAUCAAUUACACUUAUAAGUGAAUGGACACAACAGAGUAAAGACUCUCACCUGAAGUUGUAUGGAAACAGUAUGUGGUCACAGAAAUUUUGAUCUCUUAGAAACCUUAAAAGGUUUUCCUCCGUCUCCUUGGGUUUGUCAGUUAGCGUCGCUAUAUGUAUUUUAUCUGGGUCAAUAAACCCAAUAUUUAGGAUGCUCUUACUUUUACAAUCCAGAAUCUUCAUUCUGCAUAAUAGAGUACAAGUUAUAUAUAGACAAUGAAUUGAAAUAACUAAACAAGUUAUAUGUAGACAACGAAUUGAAAAACUUACAGACAAUAGCAACUCAUAAGCGAUUUGUCGAGGGCGUCGCCAUUGUACAUCUGGAGGAGUUCAUCAAAGUCGAUAUGGAUUUCUUCGGAGCGGCCGUAGUACUCCCGUGGGACACUCAGCACGAUCAUCGUUCUCCCAUUCUUUGAUUCACUUAAGUACCAUUUAUGCAAGUAAGCAUAUUUGUUGGGAGACCAUCUUUGCUGACCAAAGGCUCUCCCAUGACAAACUGUGGCUUAGGGGCUACCACAGCCUUGGGUAUCCUGUCGUCUUGGGAAGCCAGCAAAUCUUCAACCGAGACACCACAUUCAGCCGCCAACUCCUUUGCUAUUUCAAGAGCUAGCCCCUGCACCGGAGGGGGAACAUUCUCGGUUAACACCUUGAGGGGUGGGAUCGACUGUUUGGCCUGUUGUCCAAGCUGAGGAACGUCUGAUUUUUUCUUGCUUGUAGUUGAACUUGAUUUGCUCCCACUUGCACUUGCACGUGAGCUGCUCUUUUUCACUUCCGUCUGCAAUGUGCGUGUAUAGUCAUCAGGCUUAUAGUGUAAGUCAUACUAUGAUGGAAGGGUUAUGAAGUCUUUUGCCCAUGCUAUUUGCUUCUCGGUGUAUUCCGGGCGGGGCUCGGGUUCCUUCUUUUUCAUCUGCGCAUCAUGAUGUUCCUUUGCUAUCCUGGCGUUUUCCUCGGGGGUACGAUCAUAAGGUCUGAUAGGAAGAUUAGCAUGACGUACCUUUGGGAGGGGCGACCGUUUGCGCUUUGGGGGGCUUCGUGGCUUAGGAAUCGUCGGCGGAGCGUUCUUGGUGGCACGCUCCCGCUUAGUAUCCGGAGCGGGCGGCGGCGGAGACGGACGACCCAAGUCCGGCGGCGGUGAUCGAGAUGGACUCGUGUUGUGCUGGCCGACGUCAUGUGGAGGGCUUGGAGGUAAUGGAGGUGUAGGUGACCUGCAACGACUCGGAGGCGGUGUUGUCCUUGGGGCCGAGCCUCGAAGCUUGAUGUAGUUCUUGUCCCAUAGGAUGACUCCACCCAAUACUUCUCCGAGUGUCCUCUCAUCUUCGGGUCCAACUAUGUCGAGGUCCAUAUCAUUAAACCCCGUCAUGAUUUCAUCCACCCCGACUUUAGCAAAGCCAGUUGGAAUCUCACGGCCAUGCCAGCGUGCAUCAGGUCCAGAAGGUAAAGUUUGUCCGACGGCCACCUUCAUGGAUAUGUUCUUGAAUUUCUGAUGGAGUUCACAUGAUGUUGACUCCUUGAUUCCAUCCAUGGGGUAGCCGGGACCGCCCUCUAUCAUUCUUCGUUCAUCGUCGAGCGGGGCCUCAGAUUCAGCCACGCUGCUUUUCCGCUUAGAUGGGGCGCCGGUAAUAUCAAGUGCAGGAUCUUCCUGGCGCGCUACUCCUCUAAGCUCAUCAAUCUGCUUCUGUUGCUCGUUAAUCCUGGCAAGCAACUGGUUGAACUUGUCAUUCUCCUCAUCCUGCUGCCGCUUCUUUGCUCUCUCUCGGCUUCUGUAAGUGUCUUGGUCUCUGGCAAACCCAAGCCACCACGGGUAAGAAGGACCGAAGCCUCGCGUUCGUCCUCCAUGUUCGUCAUUGCCGAGGACCAGUGUGAGCAAAUCUUUAUCUCUAUCUGCAGUGAACUUUCUUUGUCCCUCCUUAAUUUCUUUCACUAUCCUUUUCCAAUUCUCCCUGGGUAUCCUAAGAUCGUCAUUCCAGAUGAGGUCCCCUGUUGUUUCGUCGUACGACCCACCAUGCGCAAGGAACCAAUUUCUUGCUCUCAAUUCCCACUCAUCACGGAGUGGUUCAGGUACGAUGCCUUUAUCUAUCAGAUCUUGCUCUUUCUUAUCCCAGUUUGGGAUGACAGUCUCAUAGCCCCCUGGCCCCAGCUUGUGGUGAUAUUUCUUCUUGUCGGCAUUUAUCUUGUUCUUUUCUGAUAAUGCCUGGGCAUCUUCUGACUCCUUGUACUCUUGAAAUGCCUUCCAGUGAUUCGCCUGCUUGGCUAGAUACCCCUCGAAUACUGGCACUUUCUUUGUCUUCAGAUAGUUUUUCCAUAGCUUCUUCUUCCAGCUAUGGAACAGUUCGUCCAUCUUCUUCAGAGUCCACUGCUUGACUUUGGCCCUCAGUUUGUCUGCGGUGUCUUCAUUCUCACAUUCUGGCAGGUUGAAAUGUGACAUGAGAUCAUUCCAAAGAUUAUCUUUGUACCUUUCGGCGACAUAGUCACUAUCGGCUGCCCCUUUGCGCUUGUUCCACUCCCGAAUGCUGAUCGGGAUGUGAUCCCUAACGAGAACUCCGCAUUGCUUCUUGAAUGUGUCAGCAGCAUUCUUAGGAAGCUUGGGUUCGCCCGUAGGAAAUAUCACCUCAAAUGUGUAAUGCGUCCGUGCAUCCAACUUUCUAGUCGGGCCUCGUUUCGUAGUUUUGCUCGAUGUGGAGGCCUAAGAGGGAGAAACAUUCGUCAAAUGAAUGUAUAUGUAUACAAUAUAGAGCUAUCUCCAAUAUUUUUCACAUAUUACAAGUGAUUGUCGAACUUCAUAUGUAUACCUCGCCGGACUUCUCCUCUUCACCGGCUUCUCCAUCAGUGGAGCUAUCACCUUCUCCGUCAUUGGACCUAUCUCCUGCCCCAUCGGCUUCAUCUUCGUGUCGCUCGACCUCCAUUCCAACGUCGGGGUUUAGAUAUGACGACGGAGAUUCAGCUGGUUCAACAUCGGGGCCGUCUUUGAUAAUGUCUUCGAGAAGUUCUUCCUCUUCGAGGUUCCUGAUAUGUAGAUCCAUAGUUCUGCAAAAAACGGAUUCUCUUAACCUUUGUACCAAAAAAGAAUUAUUCUAUCAGGAACUCCGUUUCAAAACAACUUAAGUCCCGGGUCGUGGCUCCACCCGGGACUCCUAGAUUUCUGCAUAGUAUUCAAAGUAGGAGUACUUUUCCAAUUUGAGCAUUCAAUAAGCAAAACCAAAUCGUAAAAUAAAGUAGUAUUCAAAUUAGCAUGCAUUCAAUUAUAAGCUAAUACAUCAUCACUUUUGUCCAUACAUCGUCGAAUAUUAUCACUAAUACUCCUCGAAUACUAUCAUACAUAUAGCAUCACUGAUACAUCUAGAACCGUAGCGCCCGACGGGUAUCGGCGCGGGCGGUGGACACCCAAAGAGAAGGAACCAUCACAGGAUCAUAGCUCCAGUGAGAUCCCCGAAGAACCUGCCAGGUAUGCUCGAACCUGCCCUCCAACGCAAACAUGUAGCGAUGCAGUUCCGCGGUGUCCGGAAGCCUCGGCACCCUCACUGGCCCACGCGACCGCCACCAAACAAGGAUCGGGUCAACGACGGGCUGGCUCCUCAUCAACCUACGCCCCCCGGAAGGUAGCACCUCCCAAUACCAGUUGGGCGGAGCCCAGUUCCGGACAGGGCCCCUCUGACCAAGCAGGUGUCCUCCGCCGAGUCGACGACGAGGAUGCGGGAUAGGCAUCGUAAAAUGAACUAAAAAAACAAACUAGUUCUAUUAAUUUUCUUGCUAAAAAUAAACUAUUAACACUUAAGCAUAUACAAUAGCAAAAUUAAACUAUUAACACUUAAGCAUAUACAAUAGCAAAAUUAAUCAAUAAUCUAAAAACACUAUUAACACUUAAGCAUAUACACUAUACAAUAGCAAAAUUAAAUGACAAUUUUUUUUUUCUUCUUCUUGUAACCCUAAACUAAUUUUUCCUCUUCUUAUAUUUCUCGUCUUCUUCUACUUCUACUUCUCCUCUUCUUCUACUACUUCUGCUCUUCUCUUCUUCUACUUCUCCUCUCCUCCUCUUCUAAUUUUUUUCUCUUCUUCUACUUCUCCUCUUCUUUUAUUUUCCUCUUCUUCUCCUCUCCUCCUCUUCUUAUUCUCCUUUUUCUUCUUUUCUUCUCCUCCUCUUGUUAUUUUCAUUUUUCCUAAUCUUAUUUUCUUAUUUUGUUCAUAUUUCUUCUUAUUGUAACCCUAACCUAAUUCUAAAUAUUACUAACCCUAAUAAUAUAGCACAAACCUAAUAACAAUAGGAAUUAAAUGACAAAAAAAUCUUUUUCUUUUUCUUAUUUUCUUCUCCUUUUUCUUCUUUUCUUCUCCUUUUUCUUCCUUUCUUCUCCUUUUUCUUCUUCUCUUCUCCUUUUUCUUCUUUUCUUCUACUGGCCGGAGUGUUGGGGAGGAGGGGGCGGGGGGCUUACCGGCCGGAGGUGUCGACGGCACGCGACGAGGAGGACGGCGCGGCGGCGAGGAGGACGGCACGGCGGCGAGGAGGACGGCCGACGGCGAGGAGGACGGAAGGCGGCGGCGAGCAGGACGGCGGGCAGCCUGACGGCGUCGUCGAGUUCGUCGCUGUGCCGCGCCGGGCGAGCAAGAAGAAGAGAAAUAGACGAUUUGGGUUGGAAAUUUUUGAAGUCCCGCUUAUAUAGGUGGAUCUGUAGUCCCGGUGUGUGGCUCGAACCGGGACUAAAGACCCCCUUUAGUCCCGGGUGGAGCCAUGACCUGGGACUAAAGGCCUCUUUUCGGGCAGACCAGGAGGCGGGAAGGAGGGGGUCUUUAGUCCCGGUGUCUUUAGUCCCGGGGCGUGGCUCCACCCGGGACUAAAUCCCCUCCUCGGCUGUACGAUAAGUUUAGUCCCACCUCGCCCAGCGAGGGGGACUAACACUUGUUUAUAAGCCCCGUCGCAGCUUCUCCAUCGAGCUCCUCUCUAAAGCAGGCUUACGGGCCUAAACUCACUGAAAAUUGUAACUAUAUUAGAAAUUAUAGGGAAAAUUCAAUCUAAAUUCAAAUGAGAAUUUAGAUUGAAUUUUGUCUAUGAUUUCGAAUAUAGUUUAAAUUUUUUCUAUUUUCAUAAUUAAUAAUUUUGACUAUCCAAACUAUUAUCUAUUUUGUAAUUUUCAAUUAAAAACUAUGUUUAUUAAAAAUUCUUUUUGCAUAUUUGAGAAUUUGACAAAACUGCACCAUUCAAAGGCACAUCACAAAAUUUCAACAAUUUCUGACUUCAUUUGGUAUAUUUCGUGAAUUAUCUAUUUUGUUAUUUUCAAUUAAAAACUCUGUUUCUUAAAAAUUCUUUUUGCAUAUUUGAGAAUUUGACAAAACUAUGAUAAUGAAAAGUGUUUCAAAUUGAAUAAAUAAUGCAAAACUAUUUUUUAUUUUCAUAAUUAAUAAUUUUGACUAUCCAAACUAUUAUCUCUCGAAGUAGCAGCGUUUCGAACGAGGACUCAUCUCUUACAAAGGGAUUUCAUUUUUUUGAACUUAUUUGAACUCCAUACUUUUUGUGUUCUCAAAAUGCACCAUUAAAGGCACAUCACAAAAUUUCAACAAUUUCUGACUUCAUUCGGUAUAUUUCGUGCAUUUACUUAUUUUUUUGAGCUAGUUGACCGUGAAAUUGAAAAGCACUACAAAUGAACUCUGAAAAUGUUGAAAGUUGGCAUGCUAUCAUCAUUUCACCCACAUAGCAUGUGUUAAAAAGUUGAGAGGGCUACGACAAAAACUGGAUGCAGUUCGUGUACAAAACGGACAAUCUCUCUCGAAGUAGCAGCGUUUCGAACGAGAACUCAUCUCUUACAAAGGGAUUUCAUUUUUUUGAACUUAUUUGAACUCCAUACUUUUUGUGUUCUCAAAAUGCACCAUUAAAGGCACAUCACAAAAUUUCAACAAUUUCUGACUUCAUUCGGUAUAUUUCGUGCAUUUACUUAUUUUUUAGGUACGUCACAAAAUUUCAACAAUUUCUAACUUCAUUUGGUAUAUUUCGUGCAUUUACUUAUUUUUUUUGAGCUAGUUGACCCUGAAAUUGAAAAGCACUACAAAUGAACUCUGAAAAUGUUGAAAGUUGGCAUGCUAUCAUCAUUUCACCCACAUAGCAUGUGUUAAAAAGUUGAGAGGGCUACGACAAAAACUGGAUGCAGUUCGUGUACAAAACGGACAAUCUCUCUCGAAGUAGCAGCGUUUCGAACGAGAACUCAUCUCUUACAAAGGGAUUUCAUUUUUUGAACUUAUUUGAACUCCAUACUUUUUGUGUGUUCAAAAUGCACCAUUCAAAGGAACAUCACAAAAUUUCAACAAUUUCUGACUUCAUUUGGUAUAUUUCGUGCAUUUACUUUUUUUUUGAGCAAGUUGACCCUGAAAUUGAAAAGCACUACAAAUGAACUCUGAAAAUGUUGAAAGUUGGCAUGCUAUCAUCAUUUCACCCACAUAGCAUGUGUUAAAAAGUUGAGAGGGCUACGACAAAAACUGGAUGCAGUUCGUGUACAAAACGGACAAUCUCUCUCGAAGUAGCAGCGUUUCGAACGAGAACUCAUCUCUUACAAAGGGAUUUCAUUUUUUAGAUUAUGGAACACUAUUCAUUUUUAAAUGACUAUUUUAAUCAAAAGUGGUUCCGCGGCACGCCACGUGGUUCCGCUGCACGCCACGUGGGACUAAUGGUCUUUCAUUUUUAAAUGACUGUUUUAAUCAAAAACAGAUCUAUUACAAAAGGGAUUUCAUUUUUUGAACUUAUUUGAACUAAAGACUUUUUGUAUAUAUAUGUGGUCGAAAUGCAUGAUACCAUGAAGUUUGAAAGGGCUAAACCAUUCAAAAGUAGCAAAUGAAGUUAGAAAGGGCUAAACCAUUCAAAUUUGGAAACUAUAAUGGCACAAACAGAAACUAGACAUAUAUAAAUUGGUCCAAGAAGUACAUGAUACUACUCCAAACAGUACAUAAUAAUAGCUACCAUAGAUAUAUAUACAAGUGUUCGACGUUCAGAACACUACUCGUCUGAAUCAUCUAAAUCAGAAUGUCCACCUUCCUCGAGGUGACGCUGGCCAUAGUGGACGACUCGAAUCUUGCGGUACAACUCGUAUGAAACGUAUGCAUCUUUUGCUGCAUACUCAAUGUUGAUAUCAUCAAGUGGGCCCUUCUCCCAAAGUUUGUGCUGAGACUUUGGGAAACUGGUCUUCAUAUCAGUAUAUGAAUCGUCGAUCAAGGCAACUGCCAUAUGAGCCAUCGAAGUCCUGUCAUGUCGAGGCCUGAAUAUCGUUUGGAGAUCAACGAGGCAACCAGCUGGUAUCUCAAUACCGAAGCUGUGCCUCAUCUUCAGCUUGUCGUUCCUUAUGUCAACGGAAGAAAAAGUGAUGCCACUGCGAAGGAAGUCCAUGAGUUCUGGACAAUGCUUGUCACUCCUGCAACAGAAACAAAUUAAAAUGGAACAAAUGUUACAUACUGCUGCAAUAAGGAAACAUGUUUCACUACAACUAAAGAGAAAAUUAUCUUUAGGAUUCAAAUAGAACAUAUGCAAUGGAACCUAGAGAGAUCACUAUAGCUAUCCAGUGGAACCUAGAGAGAUCACUAGCUAUAUGCAAUUGUCAUGACUAUGACAUAUCAUAUUGCUAUCCAAUGGAACCUAGAGAGAUCACUAGCUAUAUUCAAUUUUCAUAACCUUGGAUCAAAGAACACCGCAUAAAAUUGUAUCACUACAACUAUGAUUUCAAUGGAACAUAUUGAACCAAUCAGAUUUUUCAGAUUGUGGAACACUAUUCCAAUCAGAUUGUGUUCCCUUCAACUAAUAAAAAUUGUUUCACUACAACUAUUUGAAGCGAACCAACUAUGAUUCCAAUGGAACAUAUUAAACACUAGUUGAUUCUAAUAUGAUUUUUCAGAUUAUGGAACACUAUUCCAAUCAGAUUGUGUUCUCUUCAACUAAUCAAAAUUGUUUCACUACAACUAUUUGAAGCGAACCAACUAUGAUUCCAAUGGAACAUAUUAAACACUAGUUGAUUCUAAUAUGAUUUUUCAGAUUAUGGAACACUAUUCCAAUCAGAUUGUGUUCUCUUCAACUAAUCAAAAUUGUUUCACUACAACUAUUUGAAGGGAACCAACUAUGAUUCCAAUGGAACAUAUUAAACACUAGUUGAUUCUAAUACGAUUUUUCAGAUUAUGGAACACUAUUCCAAUUAGAUUGUGCUCCCCUUCAACUAAUCAAAAUUGUUUCACUACAACUAUUUGAAGGGAACCAACUAUGAUUGAAACAAAUAAACUUACAAUGUCAUUAUCUUGGAUCAAAGAAAGCCUCAAAACUUACCUCGCCCAUUGGAAGAUCAAGGCAUGGCGUGCGAAGCAUAGUUGGAUGACGGCAACACCGCGUUGAUCGGCCGUGUACUCCAGAUCAAGCCCCAAGAACUUCUCAUGAUCCACUGCGUUGUCAAACCAUAGUUCCUUCAACUGUUGAAGAAAAAGCGGCACCUCCCCGCUCAGGUUCGUGUACACGACAUGGAGCUUGGUCGUGCCAUGUGCGAGCACCUCAUGAAAGCUAGUUGGCAUGGUGGAAGAAGAGAAGGGAAGAAGAGAGGAGAAGAACACAGAGGGAGAGCGAGAGAGAAGAAGAAACAGAGAAAUGGCGACUGUACGCUUCGGUUCGUUCUUUUCAUCGCCCGAAACGACGCAGAUGCAAACCGUUUGGGUCCUUAGUCCCGGGUCGAGCCACCAACCGGGACUAAAGAGGUAUACCAACGGUCGCCACCACUACGGCAGGCCACGUGUUAGUCCUUUAGUCCCGGGUUGAGCCACCAACCGGGACUAAAGGGGGAUACGAACGGUUGCCACCACCACUGCCCGCCGCAUAGCCCUUUAGUCCCGGUUUGGGACACGAACCGGGACUAAAGUCUCCUUACGGGUCGGGACUAAAGCCUCGAGGGAGGCAUUGAGAAUUGGGGCGACGUGGCCGGGCCUUUAGUCCCGGCCAGAGGCAGGUCGGGACUAAUUGGUCCCGGCCAAAGGCCCAUUUUCCACUAGUGUACCUUGAUAAAAUAAAUCUUCCAACAUCACCAUUGACAUCGAGAAGGAGAUUUUGUCGUCAAACCAAGGGCGGAAAAUUAUUUAUUAUAGACAAUGCCAUCUCCAAUGAAGAAGCCGAUAGUUACCAAAACCCUACACCAAUCUAAUAAAAACAUUGCUGUUAUUAAGAACUCCACUCAUAGAUCGGUCCGCCGUCCCUCCCAACGCCGCAAAAGGUCGGUCGGAGAAAAGGGAACCGAUCUAUGAUGAAGACAAAGGUGGUGGUGGCGUCCUCUAGGUUUAGAGAGGACCUCUUGGGCGAGGGAAGGAAACAUUGGUUAAUCCUCCAUCUUUUUGCCUUUGUGUUCAUACUUCCAUGCAAGUAUGGAGAGAGAGGCAUUGUUGUUACCCAUCAACAUUUUUACACUUGCCCAACUAUGAAAUUCUGUAGGGCCUAUGUAGUUGUUUUCUUCUCUCUCGAAAGGCUUUAAAAAUAGUUCACAGAAACUCUUGAUGGACGACCAUUGGUAUGAGAUAUGGACCCAGUUCUUUUCGUCCGGUUCUGGUGAUUCUAGGUUUGAAAAAUCAAAAGCUUAAAAUAACACGAUUUGCUUCUUCAAAAUCAUCAAUCAACACAAUCGAGAGUGUAUCGCAGAAUCCAGCAAAAAGGUCGAUUGUGGCGAUUCUGAUAAGUUCCACCAAACAAAAUGUUUUGUCUAUACACAAUACUAUUUGGAACGCAAAAUUGCUAGGGAAAUGGCACCGGUGGCCAGCUGCGCGAACGAAAACGAGUCGUGUGACUCGUUCCUCUCACCCUCGAUUUCACACUCCCCGCUCAUCCUCAAGGUAGGGUUCCAGGGCUGCCGCCACCUGAGAGCCCACCCUGGCAGCUCCUCCGCCCGCCCGACGCAGACCCUCUACCCCGCUCGUCCGCUCCGCCCGCUCGCCUCCAGGCCCGGAGCCGCUGCUCCGCUCGCAUCCAUCCCCGGAGCAACUGCUCGUCGCCGCUCUACAACCGACACCCAACACUAAAUCCGCCUACUCCACAUGCUGCCGGACGCCGUCACGCCGGAGUUCGCUCAGGUGGGCUCUCCUCUCCUCUCUAUUUUCUCUGUUUGUCAUGUCGUUCAAUCGUUGUACAUAGAAAAGCAGAGGAUAUAUGGAUGCAUUUGUCUGUUUUUCUACUUGUGAAUGGUUCUGUUUUGCUAAGGCUAUGGGCUAAUGGAAAUACAUUGUAGUUGGAUAAAGAAAAGAAAAUCAAGGCACCUAAAGAAAACUGGAACUGUGCGGCGCAUACUAUUUAUAUGGAUGCGUGUGUAGAAGAGGUGCGAGCUAGUAACCGUGGCGGCACCACUUUGACUAACGUAGGAAAAGCUAAGCUGGUUAGAAAGUUUAAUGGACGCUCCGAUUGAAAUUAUUCUUCUGACCAACUGAAAAAUAGAUGGGAUAUAUGUAGAGCAGAGUACAGUGUGUGUGUGGAAGACAUUGACUCAAAAAACAUCUUGUAUUGGUAGAGAUGAAUAUAUGAAGACCAUUGCAACUUCGGAUGAGUGGUGGGCAUUGGAGAUAAAGGUAUGUCCUCGUAUCAGUUAUUCAAAUAAUGUGUGAUACUCUUGUUUCAUUAUUUAACCAUGAGUUCGGGUAUUUGAUUGCAGGCAAAUCCGGUGGCUGCCAAGUUCCGGUAUGCUUCACUACUAGAGGAGGAAAAAAAUGAGAGAGGUGUUUGACGCUUCUUGUGUCACAAAUGAGAACUCUAGGGUUCCAAUUCCCACAUAUAUAUCAGAGUGGUUCAUCUUGCUUCAAUAUGGAUGAUGACCCAGGUUGUGAAAGCUAUGAUGUCGAAGCUACACCUCGCCCAAAGCGGGGCAAGAAUGGGAAGAAGAUGUCUUGUUCUUAUUGGCCAAGUCCUAAGAUGAAUGAGAAGUGGUGAAAUGAAAUUGUUAAAACUGAUGCACUUGUGCAUAUGAUUGACCUCUUUGGUGCAAGGAAAAUAAGAAAGGGAAACUCUGGAGAGGAUAGAACAAUAAAGGAGAUUGGAGACAUGAUGGACAUGGUGAUUUGGGAUGGUGCUAAACCUGGGAGUGAUGUGCAUUUCUAUAAUUCUCAUAUUAUGCUAGAAAAGAAAUAUCGUGAUAUUUUCGUAACCUUCAAGGGUCACCAACCUAGUUCAAGGCGUCGAGGGAUAGCGAGGACAUGGGAGCUCAACAAGAAUAAGUAGAGCCAUUUGCUUGUAAUGUUGUGAACUUAUAUGUACCGUUUGCUUUCAAUUAUUUGCUUCAAACCUAAAAUGCGUUGAACCCCAACUAUUUGCUUUGAACAUGUUUUGCUCUCAUAUUGUAAUGUUCACUUGUCCAGAACAUAAUUAUUUGCUUUGAAAUUGUGUUGUAUCAUGUUGAACUAUUGUUGAUAUUUUAUCUAUGUUGUUGCUCAACUCUCAUGUGUAUGUUUAUGUGGCAGAUGAACACUUCAGAUGAAUUGGACACUUCAUAUGAAUCAGACGAGGAAUGGGAUUUGGCCAUGUAUGCAUGUGCUAUAAAAAUGGAGUCGUCAAAUGAGAGAUUGUCAUAUGCACCAAGAAAGUUACACCUUGUCACUGGCCUCCAAUGGGUGGAACAGAAGGAACAAGAUGCAAAAGUUUUCUACUCUAUGUUCAUAAUGAGGAGAUCAGUGUUUACUCAUUGCAUGAAUUGCCGGUUCAGAAGUACGGGCUUAAGUCAACUUGCAACAUAUCAUCGAAAGAAGCAUUGGCACAAUUUUUAUGGACUUUGGUGCAUGCCAAACAACUGAUAAUAUAGCAGAUCGGUUUGGACAUAGUUGUUCUGUCAUUAACAAAAACUUUCAUGAGGUUUUGGAGUGUGUAGACCUCAUGCCUGGUGAUUUCAUUAGGCCUAUUGAUCCAUCAUUCUCCGAACCACACCUUAUACUACGAAAAACAAAGUUUUGGCUCAUUUCAAAAAUGCUAUUGGAGCCAUAGAUGGAACACACAUUGAAGUGAUUGUUCCUAAGGAGUUGGAUCCACAACACAGGAAUAGGAAAGGAGUUACAGAUGAAAAUGUCAUGGCAGUCUGUGAUUUUGAUAUGAGGUUCACUUCUGUUGUUCCUGGAUGGCCCAGAUCUAUUCAUGACACACGUGUAUGGAGUGAUGCUAUAGUUCGUUAUGAUCAUUUUCCACACCCAUAGGUAAUCUCUUGUAUGUCUUUGUGUUCUUAUGUACAUGAUGGUACGUAGUUAAUUUCUAAUAUCUUCUCGUGUCUUACUAGAUAAAUAUUACCUUGUGGACUCCGGAUAUCCAAACAUAGUUGGAUAUCUAGCACCCUGCAAAGGGCAACGAUACCAUGUACUGGAGUUCCAACAACACCCACCCGUUGGUAGACACGAUACGUUCAACCAUCGUCAUUCUUUUGUAUGAAAUGUCAUCGAAAGAUCAUUCGGUGUUCUCAAGAUGAAAUAGCGAGUACUCAGAGGCAUACCAUGGUACAAACUAGAGUCCCAAAAGAUGAUUGUCACUGCAUGCAUGUGUCUCCACAACUUCAUUCGUGAUAGCAAGUUGCAUGAUGAGCAUUUUGACAAGUUUGAUAAUGAUGCGUAUGUGCAACCCCCAUUGUCAUUUACAGGCGCCAACGCUCUACGACCCGAAGAUGAUGGUACCAUGGCCGCAACACAUGAGGCUAUUGCUACCAGUCUUGUAUCAUGAGAUUAGUAAAUCUAUUUGUACUGAAACUUAUUUUGUAGCAAAGAAAACGCGGAAAUCUUCUUUAUUGUAAUAUUUAUCUAUCUAAGAUAAUCAUAAAUCGUAUUCAUGCUCAUAUUUGAUGAUAAAUUGUUCGAAACAUCUAAGUAUAUUAACAAUCUAGAAUCUAAUUUUUGUUCAAUGGCGUUACAUAUAUUUUAGCAUACAACUUGUUCCAUAAUAUCAUACCAUAAUCUCAAAAAAGAAUUCGACGUCUGAUUUUGGCUGAUUCUGGGGAAGCUGAUUCUAGAGGAAGUUUUUCAAAAGCUGAUUCUCAAGAAUCAAAAGGUAAAAAAAUUUGGGCCAUGAUCAUCUAUGAACCAAUGGUCGCACUUGUGCCGGCCUCGCGCCUCGGCUCGCCCUCAUCGAGGACGCUCCAUCUAGGCCUUGGGACACUCUCAGGCAAAAUCGCGUGACACAUUUUUGUAAUUCAGGCAACCGACAGAUAGCAAAACCAGAAGAAUAAUUGUUGCACGCAUUUUUAUUUUCGUAUAUAUGAGCACAAAAUCAGUACACAUGGCAGCAUAUACAACAGCAAGUACGAUCGGUGGAGUCGAAAUCAAACAGUACACACACCGUACGAAUAAUACCCUCAGCCUUUUAUUUUGGUUAUUAUUAUUAUUACUCUCGUGUCACGUAACGUCGCGCGUACGAGUUACGUGCAUGAUGGACGAUGGACGAGGCUAGCUAGGCGGCGGUGACGGCGAUCUUCAUGCCGGACUGGCAGUGUCCGGGGAUGCUGCA